CUUCCCAUUUCGAACAGAGAAGUUAAGCCUAGUUGUGCCGAUGGUACUAGAGUGAAAUCUGGAAGAGUAGGUAGUUGCCACCC
rnacentral:rRNA from 1 species